rnacentral:rRNA from 1 species
AUUGAACGCUGGCGGCAUGCCUAACACAUGCAAGUCGAACGAGAGGCGGACGGGUGAGUAAUGUAUGGGGAACUGCCCGAUCUAGGGGGAUAACUACUGGAACCAGUAGCUAAUACCGCCUACUAUCCGAUGAGCCCAUAUGGGAUUAGCUAGUUGGUGGGGUAAAGGCUCACAUAGGCGACGAUCCCUAGCUGGUCUGAGAGGCUGACCAGCCAAACUGGAACUGAGACACGGACCAGAGUCCUACGGGAGGCAGCAGUGGGGAAUAUUGCACAAUGGGCGCAAGCCUGAUGGAGACAUGCCGCGUGGAUGAAGAAGGCCUUAGGGUUGUAAAGUACUUUCAGCGGGGAGGCGGUAACUACAGAGGAAGCACCGGCUAACUCCGUGCCAGCCGCCGCGGUAAUAA